GACAGAGGCCUCAAGCGUUAGGCGGAAUCACUGGGCUUAAAGCGUGUGUAGGCGGGGCGUUAAGUACCUUGUGAAAUCCCACGGCUCACCCGUGGAACUGCUGGGUAUACUGGCGAUCUUGGGCCAACUAGGGGCAACUGGAACAAGCGGUGGAGCGGUGAAAUGCGUAGAUAUGCGGAGGAACACCGAUGGCGAAGGCAAUCCCCUGGACCUGUACUGACGCUCAUGCACGAAAGCGUGGGGAGCAAACAGG
rnacentral:rRNA from 1 species